rnacentral:rRNA from 1 species
GCGGCGAGACGUAGUACACAUGCAAGUCGAGCGGUAGCAGAUCUAGCUUGCUAGAUGCUGACGAGCGGCGGACGGGUGAGUAACGCGUAGGAACCUGCCCAGUAGUGGGGGAUAGCCCGGGGAAACUCGGAUUAAUACCGCAUACGCUCUACGGAGGAAAGAGGGGGCUUCGGCUCUCGCUAUUGGAUGGGCCUGCGUGAGAUUAGCUAGUUGGUGAGGUAAUGGCUCACCAAGGCGACGAUCUCUAGCUGGUCUGAGAGGAUGAUCAGCCACACUGGGACUGAGACACGGCCCAGACUCCUACGGGAGGCAGCAGUGGGGAAUAUUGCACAAUGGGCGCAAGCCUGAUGCAGCCAUGCCGCGUGUGUGAAGAAGGCUUUCGGGUUGUAAAGCACUUUCAGUGGGGAGGAAGGCCUCGUAGUUAAUAGCUGCGAGGAUUGACGUUACCCACAGAAGAAGCACCGGCUAACUCCGUG